AUGCGGUCUGUGUCACUGGCCAGGCCACACACUCUCGAAACCAGCCCUGGUUUUACUCUUCUUCUUCCUGUAAAUGCAAUGGUGGACACUUACCUUAUCUUCACGGACAUCACCCUGCGACAUCUGUCAGAUAUUAAGCUUCAGGCACCUGCACAGAGUAUCCCAGCCUUUGAAGUGGGCGAUGAGCAUUGCAUUAUGAUUACUACAACAAUGGACUGGAACUGUCUUAAACUUUCUGCGUGGUCACUGGCCAACCGAUGUCUUUGUACAUCGAGCACCUUCAAAGAGCACCAAAUGGAAGAACUGUCUUUGAAUUCUCUGUGGAGGGCUUUCCAUAGCUGCUGGUAUGUGAGGGACCAGAAGUAGGGAGUGGGAAGCUAUUUGUUGUGACAUUCUGGGUCUGUUUUAAAUGCUCCCCUGGUAGUAUCCCUGCAGCUAUUUCUCUUUAAUGUUUCUCAUUCUUCUUUGUUUUUUAUCUUUUUGAGACAACAGCUGGAUUCUGCUUUUGGUGCUUACUCUUGAUUCCCUGUCUUGUUGUGAGCCAUUCUGGUGUGUGUGUGUGUGUGUGUGUGUGUGUGUGUGUGUGUGUGUAAGGCAUGUGGCAUUCUACUUUUCCAUGGUAUUUAAUUAAAAGUUUGGCUUUUUAAAACUUGACAUUGGUUAGUGUUGGAAAAUAGAGCCAGCGGGUAUCUCCAGGGGUUGGAGAUUUUCUCCGCCCUGCAGCCUCCUCACUGAGGAUGUUUCC
rnacentral:lncRNA from 1 species